rnacentral:lncRNA from 1 species
GAGAAUCUAUUCGCUUGGAAAAUAGAUCACAUUAGGAUUUCUGGGUUUUAGCGAAAAAAAUAAAAUCAUUGUUAAAUCCUCGUUGCAAGUCGCUUGAUUGAACAUAUGCUUAAUAUAGAUCCAAAAAUUAUACUCAUUAGGCAAAAUAUAAUUAAGAUCUCUAUGGUUAAAAACAAAGAUGGUGAUGGUAGGAGAAAUUAUUACCUUAAAGAAAGUGGGUUUCAUAAGGGAAGAACCAUCAAUUACAUUUUUUGAAAAGUGUAAAUUGAGACUGCCGAGUUUUGAAGAAGUUUGCAGGAAUCGAAGAU